rnacentral:rRNA from 1 species
UACGAAGGGGGCUAGCGUUACUCGGAAUUACUGGGCGUAAAGCGUGCGUAGGUGGUUCGUUAAGUCUGAUGUGAAAGCCCUGGGCUCAACCUGGGAAUGGCAUUGGAUACUGGCGAUCUAGAGUGCGGUAGAGGGCAGUGGAAUUCCCGGUGUAGCAGUGAAAUGCGUAGAGAUCGGGAGGAACAUCUGUGGCGAAGGCGACUGCCUGGACCAGCACUGACACUGAGGCACGAAAGCGUGGGGAGCAAACAGG